CAGGGCUGAAUGUCAGAUGAGUCUCGUCUUGUAAAGCAUUAGAUGCAGCGGGAUGAGCUGUGUGCCAAAGGGCAACAGAGGAGACGUGAGCGGAGCGCUGUAAGAAGGUGGUACCCGAGCCUCAACUUGGCA